GACGAACGCUGGCGGCGUGCUUAACACAUGCAAGUCGAACGGUAAGGCCCUUCGGGUACGACGAGUGGCGAACGGGUGAGUAACACGUGGUGAUCUGCCCUGCACUUCGGGAUAAGCCUGGGAAACUGGGUCUAAUACCGGAUAGGACCAUGGACUUCACGGUUUGUGGUGGAAAGCUUUUGCGGUGUGGGAUGGGCCCGCGGCCUAUCAGCUCGUUGGUGGGGUAAUGGCCUACCAAGGCGACGACGGGUAGCCGGCCUGAGAGGGUGUCCGGCCACACUGGGACUGAGAUACGGCCCAGACUCCUACGGGAGGCAGCAGUGGGGAAUAUUGCACAAUGGGCGCAAGCCUGAUGCAGCGACGCCGCGUGAGGGAUGACGGCCUUCGGGUGUAACCUCUUUCAAUAGGGACGAAGCGCAAGUGACGGUACCUAUAGAAGAAGCACCGGCCAACUAACGUGCCAGCAG
rnacentral:rRNA from 1 species